rnacentral:rRNA from 1 species
UAAGGAAUAUUGGUCAAUGGACGCAAGUCUGAACCAGCCAUGCCGCGUGGAGGAUGAAGGCCCUCUGGGUUGUAAACUUCUUUUAUCUGGGAAGAAAUGUAUUUUUUCUAAAGUACUUGACGGUACCAGAUGAAUAAGCACCGGCUAACUCCGUGCCAGCAGCCGCGGUAAUACGGAGGGUGCAAGCGUUAUCCGGAUUCACUGGGUUUAAAGGGUGCGUAGGUGGGCAGGUAAGUCAGUGGUGAAAUCUUUGGGCUUAACCCGAAAACUGCCAUUGAUACUAUCUGUCUUGAAUGUUGUGGAGGUGAGCGGAAUAUGUCAUGUAGCGGUGAAAUGCUUAGAUAUGACAUAGAACAUCGAUUGCGAAGGCAGCUCGCUACGCAAAUAUUGACACUGAGGCACGAAAGCGUGGGGAUCAAACAGGAUUAGAUACCCGCGUAGUCC